GCUGAAUUUCGUUUUUCCGAAUUUCCCUGCAGCAAAAACAGUUUGCAUUUGUUUUUCCGCGUGUUCGCACACGUUCACGGCAGCGAGAACAACAACGUGCGGUGUUGUGUGUAAGCCUGCCGCAGAAAUCAAAUGAAAGUCCAACUGCAAAGUAAAGCUAAAAGAAAGUCGACAAAAGUGGCAAUAUGCAGUGCGUGUGCAUUGAAAAACCAGAUAUACAGCGGCCACAGGGUAUAGUACUUUGGACAAGUGAAAUAUCCCCCGAACGCCAGUGAAAAUCGGAGGAAAAACCAACGCCAACCAAGCAUUCGCAGACAACACCGGAAUCGCUGGGAAACCGGACAAAAUGCUUGGCAGCCAAAUUGGCUGCCUUUGAGGCUGAGUGAGUGGCUCAAGCACGGAGACCUUUUUUAAGAUAAAAGCCUAGAGAAACUAAAAAAACUUUCGAAUUAUUACGAGAAUCUUCUAUAUUUGAAAUAUUUUCAAAUUCAAAUUUAAAUAACUUUAUUCUUAAUAAACUAAUUGAUAAUUAAUUACAUAAUAGUAAACAAAGCUCAAAUAGACUGAAAUAGAGUCCAAAUAUA